rnacentral:ncRNA from 1 species
GGGGGGUGCGGGGGGGGGGGGAUCCGCUCCAGGGACAGCGGCAGGUGGGGAGUUUGACUGGGGCAGUACACCUGUCAAAGCGUAACGCAGGUGUCCUAAGGAGAGCUCAGGGAUGGAAACCUCCCGUGGAGCCGGAGCCAUGCCGAACCCACCCCUGCCCGACUAGUCCCCUUUUAUGGUGAGCGUGACGUCACAUGGUAUGGAAUAGCCCUUGGCCAACUUGGCUCACCUGUCCUGGCUCCUUGUGAAAUUAACUCUGUCCUUGCCAGAACCAGG